GGGAUAGCCCAGGGAAACCUGGAUUAAGUACCGGAUGAGACGGGACCCGCGAAGGCGGGACCCGGAAGGCGCUGCGGCGCCGGCGGGGGAUGAGUCUGCGUCCCAUUAGCUAGACGGCGGGGUAACGGCCCACCGUGGCGACGAUGGGUAGCCGGCCUGAGAGGGUGGACGGCCACAUUGGAACUGAGACACGGUCCAGACUCCUACGGGAGGCAGCAGCUAAGAAUCUUCCGCAAUGGGCGAAAGCCUGACGGAGCGAACCGCCGCGUGAACGAAGAAGGCCGUGAGGUUGUAAAGUUCUUUUCGGGAGGGGGAACAACCGUGGCAGGGAAUGGCCGCGGGAUGACGUGAAUCCCGGAAUAAGCCCCGGCUAACUACGUGCCAGCCGCCGC
rnacentral:rRNA from 1 species